UUUUUUUUUUUUUACUUAAUCAUUUAUUUAAGGCUCAUGCGCCAACAGGCAUAACGGAGCCGAAUCCAGUUAAAACUAUUUACAAUUUCAUGUUUUUGUCUUAUAAACUAUGUUAGUUUUGGGAAACCGAAAAACUCGCGGUUUGGUCGAGGUUAGGGGGAACAAAAAUAUUUGAGGAAAGGAUAGGGUGAUGGGGCUUUUCAUUGACACGUGGCAGCUUGGUGUGGCGUAUUGCUGCUGGUCAAACGUAGAGUGGACAUACAACCUGUAACGAUACAUACAGACGAUUUUCGAAGGGACACGAGGUGGACAAGUGGAACAACAAGACGGGGAUAUCAGACGAAGACUUCAGCUUGCUUCAAGAAGUCGUACACAAGCUUCAUAUACUCAAGAUCAAGUUUACCCAACACAUCUCUAAUGUCUUCCUUUUCUGGUUUCCCUCGGGCCCUGAGGGAUGCACAUAAAUCGGAUCUGGCAAUACCGUAUUCGGGACAUUCCCACACAACAUGGUUGAUAUCUUGAUAGCCUGCACCACAGCUACAACGAUUGCUAUCUGUGAGCCCUAUUCGAUAGAAAUGCGAGCCCAGAGA